CGACUCUAGACUAGUCGUGACUAGUCUAGACUCACGGUCGACGAGUCGACAUGGCGACGAGUCGACGUGAGUUAAGCAGCAGGCAGUCAGGGGAGGAGCACAAGUGCACAGCAGCAGCAGCAACCAGGGGAGGAGGGGAGGAGCACACCACCAGCAGCAGUAACCAGGGCCAACUGAGAGAUGGGCCACUAGUUAUGCACUUCCCUGUGGCCCAAAAGCCCAUCUAGUAGCUAUAUACUCCUCCCGUGACCUAAUCCACCAUCCACACUCCCUCCUCCCUCACCACAGCCGCCAUACAUUCUGCUGCCACUCUCUUGCCACCAGUCCACCACUUCUCCUCCCAGCGAUGGAUCUCUCAACUCCCCUGCAGCAGCUCUCUUGCCACCGCUCCUCCUCCCAGCCUGUUCCUCUUGCCGCUGCAGCUUCAGCAGCAGCGGCGGCGGCGGCCAGCGCUACAGCAGGGGCGCAGAAGCAGCAGCAGCAGCGAGGCAGCACAACAGCAGCAGCAGCAGCAUGGCGGCAGGAGAGUGCUCCAGAUCCAGCGAUGCCUCGAGUCGUUCGACCCAAAAACCACGACUAGUCGUGACUAGUCGAGACUAGUCGCGCGAGUCGCUCGACUCAUCCCAGGAGUCGAGUCGAGAGGCUGAGUCGGCCCUGGAACUGCGACUCGUCGACUAGUCGACGACUAGUCGCGACUAGUCGAGCGACUCGAAAUCCAUGAUUGCUUUUAGAUAAUUAGGCGCAUGAAUCAUGAUAGCUUGUAUAUACUGCUUUAGAAUACUGUCAUGGUGUUUUUCAUGGUCAUGUUUUACUGCAUCCACCCUACAAUCAAUCUAAAAACAUUCUAACCCAGCAUCUCGGUCUCCUGUGAACCAAUUUUGUAAGCCAGAUUGAUGGCAUGUGUAAACAAAGGCCUACAUUUAUUCUCCUUUUUCAUACUUGUGAAGACCAAAUUUAGAAAAUUGAACUGUCUGUGAUUUCAAUCGGGUCUGAAGCUUCUGUCUACUAUAAUUCUGUUCCCUGCUGAUUAUAAUUCUAUUCACAUAAAUACAUGAAGUUUGUGGUUCAUUUUGUUAACUGCUCUAUAAUAGAUAUUACUAUUUUUUAAGGUUGGUGUUGACUGAUGACAACCAAUAAGAUCGCCCUGAAGUAGCCCUCUCUCUAGCACAUCUGCUACCAUGCACCAUUGAUUCAUAUAAUAGAUGACAAAUUUGUGAUAGGCUCAUUACUUUACAUGAAUGGAUCUGGAUCUUAUGGAAUUCUGGAUGGGAAAGAGUUACUUAUCAGUUUACUUUAUCUGAUACAUUGAAAGUUUUUUUGUUUCUAUUUAUGGUGAAAGAAUUGGGUUCUUCACAAUAUAGUUGAUGUAAAGUUAGUUAAGCCGACAUUCCAAAUUACUUUACUAGAUUAGUCGUAUUGCACUUAUUUUUUAUAGAAGUUGAAUAUUUACUUUGUUUUUGCUUCUGCUGGUACCUAAAAGUUUAUCCAACUAUUUUAUUUUCCUUGAUGCAGCACAAUGACCAUCCUCGCAGAAGCAUAGGUGGUAGAUGGUGAGCUUUUUGGAGGAAGCGGAGGCGGAGAUUUCUAUUCACCAAAAAGAUGGAGCCGCCGUCGACAAGCACUGACGAGCAGCUCAGUCUCAGCCCACGCAUCGACGGGCUGAGGCCGGCUUCCAAUAGAAGUCAAAACAGGGAAUGGCUUUUUAAGCUGAUGGAGGGAUCACUGGACGCGGUGUUCAUGUUUGUGUUGGUGUUCAUGGUGAUUUUGAUAUCCAAAUAUUAUGACAAUAUAUAGAUAGAGGAGAUAGCCCUCCGCGUCCUGGUGGCCACUGUAUGCUGCAGCGAAGAGCACACUUCAAUUGGUGAGCACGCAGAUGAGUGAUCUGAGAUGUGCUUUGACAUUGGGAUUUGUAGUUGUCAAGGACGUCAUUACCCUGGCCAUUCCUAUGCUUCGGUGUUAACAAGCAGUCUUCGGAAUCAUCAAUAAGCCAACAGUGAGAAAUUAGUUUCAGAAAUUGAGUUCCCUUAAUAGGGAAACAAAUAGGGCACAAUCAGAUGAAGCAUCAAGGCAAUGGAUUGAACAAUCAGAUGAAGCAUCCAGCUCGUGGAGAAGCAAGGUCUGCAGGAAGACCAAUCGGACUGAGGCAAGAUAGUACAAUUGAUGGCAAUGGACGGAUGAGGGCAAGAUGGUCUUCGCGAAAAAGCUUGGCCGCUUGCUCGCCGGCUUGGAGGCAGCUAAGCCCUGGGUCUGGCAAGGCAAUUGCUUGCUUACUAGUGGAGAAGGCUUCUUCGGGUAAAAUCAAGAAGGUGAAGAAGGCUCUCAGGAGCAUAGGCAAGAAGAGUGGCGCCAUUGGUAAAGCGUCCGUGGCUGAUUAAUGAAUGAUACUCAGUCUCUUCGACCAUCAUCUCUGAUUGGCUCAUCUUGGUGGGUUUGCUGGUGUUUGUUGUCUACAGCUUUGGAUUCGUUGGGGUUUUCUUUGCGAUGCAGAAGUGCGAGCGAUUGUGGUUGUUGCUCGUUUUAUAUUUUUGUCGGGUUGACCGUGGGGUCAUGGAGUUUCUUUCUUUGUGAGUAGUCCGCAUGUGGUCUAUAUGUAACGGUUUUCGCCCGGUUUUCCGUUAAUUAACUGGGCAAUUCUCUUC
rnacentral:rRNA from 1 species